ACGGGAGGCAGCAGUGGGGAAUAUUGGGCAAUGGACGAAAGUCUGACCCAGCGACGCCGCGUGAAGGAAGACGGUCUUCGGAUUGUAAACUUCUUUUAUAUGGGACGAAAAAAUGACGGUACCAUAUGAAUAAGCCACGGCUAACUACGUGCCAGCAGCCGCGGUAAUACGUAGGUGGCGAGCGUUAUCCGGAUUUACUGGGUGUAAAGGGUGUGUAGGCGGGAUUGCAAGUCAGAUGUGAAAACUAUGGGCUUAACUCAUAGCCUGCAUUUGAAACUGUAGUUCUUGAGGGUCGGAGAGGUAACUGGAACUCCUAGUGUAGCGGUGAAAUGCGCAGAUAUUAGGAAGAACACCGGUGGCGAAGGCGGGUUACUGGACGAUUACUGACGCUGAGACACGAAAGUGUGGGGAGCAAACAGGAUUAGAUACCCUGGUA
rnacentral:rRNA from 1 species